rnacentral:lncRNA from 1 species
ACGCCAUCACAAAAGAAACCCUAAUGGUUUCUCUUCUUGCCUUUUCUUGCCUUGACAAAAAAAUCAUCUGUGAAGAAUAACAAAGGUAUGCAAGCUCUUUGUACUCAAGCGACUGAUGAAGAAGUUUCUUCAUAUUGGUCCUGCACAAGCUCAAAACUAAAAGGAUUCUCCAAGAUGUGAUAUUGUAAUGAAGCAAUAAGACUCUUGCUGCUGCAAGAAUGUUGACACUAACUGGAUCUACUGGCCAAACAUAGUGUGGUGACUCCAUGGCUAAAAAAAUAUUGGCCACUAUAAGUUCUAUUGAUGCUCAACUGAAGGUUCUGGCCAUUGUGUGUGAGGAGCUCCCUCCUAAUAUAAUUAUGUUACGUAUCUGCUCCAAGUAACAUUUUUAUUGUUCACAUGUUGGCUAAUUUAUGGUCUGUAACCUCUAUGGAUUUUUUUAGAUAUGUAGAGUACAUUGUCAAUUUUAUUGUUCACAUAUUGGCUUAUUUAUGAUAUGUAACCUCUUUAUGGAAUUUUU